AGUGAGAAGAAGGAGAGGAAUAGGAGGAAGAAGAAAAAAAAGAAGAAGAAAGAGGAACAGAGGAGGCGGAGGUGCGCAACAAUGAUGGUGCAAAGGUGGUGGAGGCGUGAUGUUGUGAUGUCGACCGAAGUUGGGGGAGGAGCCAAAGGUGGUGGUGACGAUGUUAACUCUUUGGCAAGUGUAUCAAAUUGUUCAAAUAGUCAUGGGUAAGACAGUAUAUCAUUUUUUAAGAGACUCGCACAAUGUUAAAUAAUCAUACAAUAAAUAACUAACAUAGGCUAAAGAAUAGUUCCAAAAUUUGAGAUUAUGUACAAUAAAGUAAAUUGAUGCAUAAAUGUAAAUAUGAAAUUUGAAAAAAGUUUAAAAAUUAAUGAAAUGGAUUGAUAUUGUCAAGGUUAGAUUUCACUGACAUCAUUUUUAUACAUAUAAGAACUCACACUUUCUCCAUUAAUAUAUUAAUGUCAGUCUAUAAAUUUACUUAAACCCUAAUUCCUUAGUAAAAUGAGCCUAGGUUUCCUUAUUAAGAGUCAAUCCUUGAACCCAUAAUAAACAAACCCCCUUUAUGAACUACAAUUUAAGACAAUUAAUGGGUCAAACUCCAUUCUUAGAUAUAAGCUCCAUUAAGUAUCAUGUUCCAAGUCUAGGUUUCAAAAGAUAUUUUCCAAUACCUAAUAAGCCAAACAUCAAACUAUGAUAGCCACACCAAAGCGAGCAUUAAGUACAAAAACAACAAGAG
rnacentral:lncRNA from 1 species